CAUAAAUAUUAUGUAAAUACCUAUAUACUGCAAAAUCCCAUGAUAUAGCGAAAACUCUGUGAUACAGAAUCAGAUAUAUAUUUUUUUAAGAAACCCAAGAUAUAGUGAAGCUGCAAUAAGUGAACCAUGAUAUAGUGAGGGAUGACCCUAAUGUAUAGAUCAAGAA